rnacentral:rRNA from 1 species
GACGAACGCUGGCGGCGUGCUUAACACAUGCAAGUCGAACGACAGCGUAGAGAAAGCUUGCUUUUUCUACAAUCUAGUGGCAAACGGGUGAGUAACGCGUAAACAACCUGCCCUACGGAGGGGGACAACAGCUGGAAACGGCUGUUAAUACCGAAUACGUUCCGAAAGUCGCAUGACUAUCGGAAGAAAGGUUGGCCUCUAUUUAUAAGCUAUCGCCGGAGGAGGGGUUUGCGUCUGAUUAGCUAGUUGGAGGGGUAACGGCCCACCAAGGCGACGAUCAGUAGCCGGUCUGAGAGGAUGAACGACCACAUUGGAACUGGGACACGGUCCAGACUCCUACGGGAGGCAGCAGUGGGGAAUCUUCCGCAAUGGGCGAAAGCCUGACGGAGGAACGCCGCGUGAGUGAAGACGGGCCUCGGGUUGGAAAGCUCUGUUAUACGGGACGAAUAAUCUUGUGGUUAAUACCCAUGAGAAGUGACGGUACCGUAAGAGAAAGCCACGGCUAACUACGUG